UACCAUAGCCAUAUCACCCUGUAUCCCAAGACUGGUUGCCCAAUGCCCACUGAAGCUAAGCAGGGUUGAGCCUGGUCAGUACCUGGAUGGGAGACCUCCUGGGAAAACUAGGUUGCUGCUGGAA
ensembl:rRNA 5S_rRNA 5S ribosomal RNA